rnacentral:ncRNA from 2 species
ACUUCUCCAACAGGAAAUGGUACUGCGUAUCAACGCAUUACGGGGGAAUCGUCGGGGCCACCCAUGUGGUGGAAAUCACGAGCUGUCGCGCAACUGUAAAGGGUUAUCGAUUCGAUGACCUAAGCCAGAACACCCAUCCUUUCCUUGUUGACAAU